CGUAGGGGCAAGCGUUGUCCGGAAUGAUUGGGCGUAAAGCGCGCGCAGGCGGCUUCUUAAGUCUGAUGUGAAAGCCCACGGCUCAACCGUGGAGGGUCAUUGGAAACUGGGGAGCUUGAGUACAGGAGAGGAGAGUGGAAUUCCACGUGUAGCGGUGAAAUGCGUAGAGAUGUGGAGGAACACCAGUGGCGAAGGCGGCUCUCUGGCCUGAGACUGACGCUGAGGCGCGAAAGCGUGGGAGCAAACAGGAUU
rnacentral:rRNA from 1 species